CUUCACCCCAGUUACCAAUCACUCCUUGGGGACCUGCCUCCCUUGCGGGUUAGCUCAGCCACUUCUGGAGCAAUCGACUCCCAUGGUGUGACGGGCGGUGUGUACAAGGCCCGGGAACGUAUUCACCCCUGCCAUGCUGAUCAGGGAUUACUAGCGAUUCCGCCUUCAUGGAGUCGAGUUGCAGACUCCAAUCCGUACUGAGGUCGGUUUUUUGGGAUUGGCUUCACCUCGCGGUUUCGCAGCCCUUUGUACCGACCAUUGUAGCACGUGUGUAGCCCUGGACAUAGGGGCCAUGAGGACUUGACGUCAUCCCCACCUUCCUCCGACUUGAAGGUCGGCAGUCUCGUUAGAGUGCCCAACUGAAUGAUGGCAACUAACGACAAGGGUUGCGCUCGUUGCGGGACUUAACCCAACAUCUCACGACACGAGCUGACGACAGCCAUGCAACACCUAACCACAGAUUCCCCGA
rnacentral:rRNA from 1 species